rnacentral:lncRNA from 1 species
AAUCUCCCCUCCCAAACCGCAUGCUCCCAUCUCCCCUUAUACCAUGCUAGUCCCAAGCAUUCUAACUUACUAACUCCUACUGACCACAUUACUCCUCUUCUCCCAUCCAAUCCCCCUCAAAUCCUGCUUCCUAGUCCCCUCUGCCGUACCUUCCAGCUCCCUUCCCUCUCCCACUGCCCCCUACCCACUACCUCCCCCAUCCUCCUGCCUCCCCCCGGUUCCUAUACACUUUUGCCUACCUAGGGCGAUUAACCUCUCAGCUUGCACCGUUUCACGCCACAUACACGCCCUCACCACCGUGCAUUUCGGGGAAACACAUCACCGCCUAUUAACGGCUCCCUCCACAUCCCCACCCACGCACACACCACACACACACCUCUUCUGUCCUCUCGAGUUUUUAUCCCACCCGCGCCCCCUAGAUUGUUCUCUCACAUCCUCCUCACUCUGUUCUACCCGUACCACCCCCAUCCUUCCCCACGGCCCCCCCCCCACACGCCUCCAACACCGCCAUACUUUCCCUUCCUUCCCCGAUCACCUCCGUGAGCGCGCGGGACAACCCCACGCUUACGGCCUACCUUCACUGUUCCACUCCGUCGCGCCAUUGCCGACGCCGCAACCUGCAACCAAAUUUCUCUACACACACACACCACACCAAACAACUCAAAUUUUCACCGUACCUCCCGUUUCCAUCCUCCUUCUUCCUGCCGGUCGCGUCGUCCGUCCACGGCCUCCUUCUCUCUCCCUUCUCGCUCCCCUCUGCCCCGACUCUCUCCUCUCUCCUUCUGGAACUUUCCUCUUCUUCUUCGUCUCCGCUCUCCUCCUUCCCUCCCUUUCUCUUUUUCUCUUUUUCCUUUUCUUUCUUUUUUUUUUCUUUUCCCUUCCUCCCUUUUCCGACCUCCUUUUAUAC